GACGAACGCUGGCGGCGUGCUUAACACAUGCAAGUCGAACGUGAUUUUUGUGGAAAUUCUUUCGGGAAUGGAAAUGAAAUGAAAGUGGCGAACGGGUGAGUAACACGUGAGCAACCUACCUUACACAGGGGGAUAGCCGUUGGAAACGACGAUUAAUACCGCAUGAGACCACAGAAUCGCAUGAUAUAGGGGUCAAAGAUUUAUCGGUGUAAGAAGGGCUCGCGUCUGAUUAGCUAGUUGGAAGGGUAAAGGCCUACCAAGGCGACGAUCAGUAGCCGGUAUGAGAGGAGGAACGGCGACAUUGGAGCUGAGACACAGUGCACAAUCCUACGCGAGGCAGAAGUGGGGAAUAUAGCACACUGGGGGGAACCCUGAUGCAGCGACGCCGCGUGAGCGAAGAAGGUUUUCGAAUCGUAAAGCUCUGUCCUAUGAGAAGAUAAUGACGGUAUCAUAGGAGGAAGCCCCGGCUAAAUACGUG
rnacentral:rRNA from 1 species